rnacentral:rRNA from 1 species
GAUGAACGCUGGCGGCGUGCCUAAUACAUGCAAGUCGAGCGAACGGACGAGAAGCUUGCUCCUCUGAUGUUAGCGGCGGACGGGUGAGUAACACGUGGAUAACUUCCCUAUAAGACUGGGAUAACUUCGGGAAACCGGAGCUAAUACCGGAUAAUAUUUUGAACCGCAUGGUUCAAAAGUGAAAGACGGUUUUGCUGUCACUUAUAGAUGGAUCCGCGCUGCAUUAGCUAGUUGGUAAGGUAACGGCUUACCAAGGCAACGAUGCGUAGCCGACCGGAGAGGGUGAUCGGCCACACGGGAACUGAGACACGGUCCAGACUACUACGGGAGGGAGCAGUAGGGAAUGUUCCGCAAUGGGCGAAAGCCUGACGGAGCAACGCCGCGUGAGUGAUGAAGGUCUUCGGAUCGUAAGACUCUGUUAUUAGGGAAGAACAAAUGUGUAAGUAACUAUGCACGUCUUGACGGUACCUGAGCAGAAAGCUACGGCUAACUACGUG